CUGAUGAGCCGCCAGUGGGCGAGAUAAGUGAGCGUCUCACCCUUUGCUGA
rnacentral:snoRNA from 1 species